rnacentral:rRNA from 1 species
UACGUAGGCAGCAAGCGUUGUUCGGAGUUACUGGGCGUAAAGGGUGCGUAGGCGGCUUUUUAAGUCUGGUGUGAAAUCCCCCGGCUCAACCGGGGAAUUGCUGGGCAUACUGGCGGUCUUGAGCAGUCUAGGGGCAGAUGGAACAAGUGGUGGAGCGGUGAAAUGCGUAGAUAUCACUUGGAACGCCAAAGGUGAAGACAGUCUGCUGGGGACUUGCUGACGCUGAGACACGAAAGCCAGGGGAGCGAACGGG